UUUUUAUGGAGAGUUUGAUCCUGGCUCAGAGUGAACGCUGGCGGCGUGCCUAAUACAUGCAAGUCGAACGAUGAAGCUUCUAGCUUGCUAGAAGUGGAUUAGUGGCGCACGGGUGAGUAAGGUAUAGUUAAUCUGCCCUACACAAGAGGACAACAGUUGGAAACGGCUGCUAAUACUCUAUACUCCUGCUUAACACAAGUUGAGUAGGGAAAGUUUUUCGGUGUAGGAUGAGACUAUAUAG
rnacentral:rRNA from 1 species